rnacentral:rRNA from 1 species
CAGCAACGCCGCGUGAGGGAUGAAGGCCCUCGGGUCGUAAACCUCUUUCGAUCGGGAAAAACGGGCGGGUGAAGAACCCGUUCUGAUGGUACCGGAUGAAGAAGCCCCGGCCAACUACGUGCCAGCAGCCGCGGUAAUACGUAGGGGGCAAGCGUUGUUCGGAAUUACUGGGCGUAAAGGGCGUGUAGGCAGUGCGGUAAGUUGGACGUGAAAUCCCCGGGCUUAACUCGGGGGGGUCGUUCAAAACUGCCGUGCUAGAGUGUGGGAGAGGGAAGUGGAAUUCCCGGUGUAGCGG